CUGGACUAGAAUCCCAGCAGGAAACAUGAGAGGAGGCGGGCAGCCCAAGAGGGUUGGGCAGGGCAGUGUGGACCUCGCCGCUUCCACAGCGAUGCUGGCUACUGAUCGCGGGCACCUCCUUGCCAUGGGAGGGUAAUUAAUAUUAUGACUGGAUAAGACAAUUGUGAAGAAACUGCAUUUCGAGGUUGUCUAUCUCUGUAUUCUGAUGGAAAAGCGUGGAAUUUAGAAGCA
rnacentral:lncRNA from 1 species